GACUAUAUCUUUAGACAAUGAGUCUCUAAGGUUUUUGGGGCCAAGAACAAGAAUUUCGUUUUUUUCUGAGUUUAACAUCAGAAAAUUGCAGCUCAUCCAGGAUUUUAUGUCCUUAAGACAUGUUUGUAAUUUAGAUAAUUGAUUAAUUUCAUCGGGCUUGAUAGAUAGAUAUAACUGCGUAUCAUCUGCAUAACAGUGAUUGAAGAACAAUAACCACAAAGCUGGAUGAGGUAGUGGCUGAGAGACAGAUGAAGCUAAAAUCAGACCUAGCAAAUGCAGAUAGUGUGUUGAUGACUGUAGACAUAUGGUCAGACCGGAAGAUGAGGGGGUUUCUGGGAGUGACAGCACAUUGGCUGAAUCCUGCCGAUGACUCACUUGUCUUGAAAUCAGCCUUACUUGCAUGCAACCGCUUCAGAGGUGCUCAUACUGGAGAAAGAAUUUGCGAGGAGUUUGAACAGAUAUGUGAAGAGAACAACAUGAAGGGGCGCCCGGUUAGCUCAGCUGGUAGAGCUGGUGACCCAUGUACCGUGGCUCAGUACUUGCUGCAGCAGCCCAAGGUUUGAAUCCGACCUGUGGCCCUUUGCUGCGUGUCAUACCCUCUCUCUCUGCCCCCCUUUCCUGUCAAAUAAAAGCCAAAUAUAUAUAUAAAAUACUUUAAAGAGUACAACAUGAAGAAGAAGUUGGACCACAUUAUUUGAGAUAACGCCACGAACAUGAAAAAGGCCUUCAGUACGUGCUUCCCAGGUCAAGAGGACGAAGAGGAUGACGAUGACCUUGAUGAUUCUGAUAUAUGGAAUGACUUAUCACCAGAGGAGCAAGAGAGGGUUGACCAAUUUUUCACAGCAAAGUCUCAGACACGAAUGCAGUGUUUUGCACAUACUCUUCAAUUGGUUGUAAGAGAUGGCCUGAAAGAGACCAGAAUUGUUAAUGCGGCCAUUGCGAAAGCCUCCACGUUGAGCCACAUUCUCCAUACAAGCUGCUCACUCAAGGACAUUUUUGAGAGGGAGUUUGGUUAACCCUGCGUGUGUUGCGACGUGCUGGAAUUCCACUUUUAGGCAACUAAAAGCAAUGCUCAGCUGUGAUCACCUAAAGCUUUCUACACUUCUUGAUAAUUCGGGACACAAGGACACGGUAUUCAUAGCAAGAGAGUGGAAUCAGAUUCAAGAACUUGUGUACAUCCUUCAGCCUUUUGCGGAAGCCACAGAUCUCACGCAGGAAAAAAAAAAGUGACCAUAAGUGCUGUGGUACCCUGUGUCCUUUCUCUUAAUCACCACCUGGAAAAUGAAAAAGGGAACAUGUGCUACAUGGGGGGUCUGAUCUGUAGCCUACAAACAUCACUCCAAAGACGGUUCGGAGGGAUCAUUGUGAAUGUGCAGAUGGCAGAAGAAUCAUCUGGCAGGCAGUCAGUGCCCUUCUCUGACCCUCUAUACCUAAAGGCUGCUCUACUGGAUCCUUCAUUUGGCAGCAUGUGGUUGACCCAUGAUGUUUUUGUCCCUGAAAACACCAAGCAGGCUGUGCCAAUGAUGAUAAAAGAUUUGAUUCUCAAAGAGGCUUGCAAGACCACCCCAACCCCCUGUUAGGAGGAGGACCAAACCAGAACAGAAGAGACAGAGCAUCAGUCUGGACUGUUCUCAGCAUACCACAAGAAGCAGAAGUAAGAUUCAGGUUCUAGCCCCCAUAUUCGGCUGAACCACUACCUGGAUGUUUGAGAUGGACAGAAUGCCCUUCAGGUUUGGGCCAUGAACAGGCACACCCUCCCCUCUUUGUUCAAGGUGGCGGUAAGGGUUUUGGCAGUUCCUGUAUCAAGGGCACCUGUUGAGCGCGUAUUCAGCCAUGGCGGGAUAAUAAUGCAACCCCAUCGCUCACAACUGACUGACAAAGUUCUGUCACAUUUGAUGUUUUGCAAAUGCAAUGUUUUGUAAAUGGCUUUUCACCCCUUCUCUCUCUGACACACAUGCACACACACUCCUAUACACUCACAUGCACACACACGCACACACACACACACACACACACACACACACACACACGCACUCCUCAUACAUACACACACACACACAUUCACAAAUACUAGGCCUAAUUACAUUGUUUCUAUAUCUCUCUCUCUGACACACAUGCACACACACUCCACUAUCCACUCUCACAUGCAUGCACACACACACGCACAUGCACACAUGCUUAAUCAUAACACAAACACUAGGUUACAUUUAAGGUUUACUUGUUCAAGUUCAUUCUUUGAUGCAAUGUUUUUUGUUAUAUGUUGAAAUAUUUGUUGUAAAUUAAAGUCCAGCACUUUAAGACGGUUGUCAUCCAGCUUAUUAUAUUUCUAUGAUUUGACUUGACUUUACUCUCACAAAAAUGACUUGGGACUUGCUUGAGAAAUGACUUGGGACUUGCUUGAGACUUGAAGGUUAAGACUUGAGACUUACCUGAGACUUGCACAUGUGUGACUUACUCCCACCUCUGCAACACAUUCCACACUCCUGCCCUCAGGCCGGCGUUACAGGAGUGUACUAACCGUUUCUACCCCCAGGCCAUCAGACUCUACAGACAGUACAGCCCACACCACCCUGCCACCACCAUAUGAGUUUCAAUUUAGAAAUGUAAUUACCUAUAGUUUGUGGGCUAUUUUGAAGCCUCCAGUUGGGCUUUAUGUUCGUCUCCAUGUUAUUCUUUUGCAGCCAUCAGCGGUGACGUACUGCGAGUUGAGCUGCUCUCAUUGGCUGCUCUUGGUUUGGAAACAAUGGCGGUUCGCCUGCUCACACAGGGUCUGGUAUUCCAGAUAAACAAUAAAAUGUGUUUGUGAACAGAUUUGAGGAGAGAAAUAGUCAACAACAGAAUCUGGAUCCAUAUCUGAUCAGCACUGUUUGACAGUUUGAUCUGAGUUUGGUGCAUUGAGCUGGAU